rnacentral:rRNA from 1 species
CCUACGGGUGGCAGCAGUGAGGAAUAUUGGUCAAUGGGCGAGAGCCUGAACCAGCCAAGUCGCGUGAGGGAGUACUGCCCUAUGGGUUGUAAACCUCUUUUGUCGGGGAGCAAAAGCCGGACGUGUCCGGCUGUGAGAGUACCCGAAGAAAAAGCAUCGGCUAACUCCGUGCCAGCAGCCGCGGUAAUACGGAGGAUGCGAGCGUUAUCCGGUUUUAUUGGGUUUAAAGGGUGCGCAGGCGGAUUUUUAAGUCAGCGGUAAAAUCGUGGGGCUCAACCCCAUCCAGCCGUUGAAACUGGGGAUCUAGAGUGUGCGAGAGGUAUGCGGAAUGCGUGGUGUAGCGGUGAAAUGCAUAGAUAUCACGCAGAACCCCGAUUGCGAAGGCAGCAUACCGGUGCACAACUGACGCUCAGGCACGAAAGCGUGGGUAUCGAACAGGAUUAGAUACCCCUGUAGUC